GACGAACGCUGGCGGCGUGCCUAAUACAUGCAAGUUGAGCGAUGAAGAUUGGUGCUUGCACCAAUUUGAAGAGCAGCGAACGGGUGAGUAACGCGUGGGGAAUCUGCCUUUGAGCGGGGGACAACAUUUGGAAACGAAUGCUAAUACCGCAUAACAACUUUAAACAUAAGUUUUAAGUUUGAAAGAUGCAAUUGCAUCACUCAAAGAUGAUCCCGCGUUGUAUUAGCUAGUUGGUGAGGUAAAGGCUCACCAAGGCGAUGAUACAUAGCCGACCUGAGAGGGUGAUCGGCCACAUUGGGACUGAGACACGGCCCAAACUCCUACGGGAGGCAGCAGUAGGGAAUCUUCGGCAAUGGACGAAAGUCUGACCGAGCAACGCCGCGUGAGUGAAGAAGGGUUUCGGAUCGUAAAACUCUGUUGGUAGAGAAGAAAGUUGGUGAGAGUGGAACGCUCAUCAAGUGACGGUAACUACCCAGAAAGGGACGGCUAACUACGUG
rnacentral:rRNA from 1 species